GAAAGGGUACGGAUACCGAAACGUACCUGGCGAGCAAAGCGCAAGCCCCUAUUAAA
rnacentral:ncRNA from 1 species